ensembl:lncRNA
GUUACAACCACCUGUUUUCCAGACUGUUAUCCUAAGUUACAAGAAAACUGAAGUUUUGAAUUUUCACUGAACCUAAGAGGAUGUUUUAUUGAUAUUUGGACAACAAUGACAAAAAAAAAAAAAAACAACCCUCAAAAACAAAGGUCAAGUCAAUAACUAAGAACGGUUUUAACAGUACUUUGUGAUGAGUGGAUAUUGUAAGUGAAAACAUGACUAAUAGAGUUAUAAACUUUAGUACUUGAAUAUGCCUGUUUCACCUACAUUCUUGUAAAGGCCAUAAUCUUUGUCAUACUAUGUAAAUGCCACGGCAGCGUUCUUGAACUUACUGAGGAGUGCAGGAAAUCAAAGGGAAGUAAAGAAAGAAGCCGUUAGCAGAAGUGAAAAGAUUAAAACACCAGCUCUUCUGAGACAAGUACAAAUGAUGUAAAUAAAAAACCAGGGGUCAUGCAGCACCAGCUUUCUUAAUAAAAAGUUGUAAUUAAGAUAGAAAAUGUCACAAGAAAGGCUGCCUGCAUUUUUCCCUUUGAAAUGUAUUUCCAUUAUAUAUAUUUUUAAGAAUAAUGACAUAAAUAGAUCAUAAGCUGUAUGGAACGCACUUGGAUCUUGUUCAUGCUCUGGAUUCCUGACUGAUAGCAUAGUUAACAGCAGCAGCUUCAGUUAUUAAAAUAUUCCUGACUCAGACAUACAUGCAAAUGCAUAUCUUUUAUUAUUAUUAUUAUUAUUUACCAACACAUUUAGUUUCUAAUUAUUUGCCUUAUGUCAGCUGAUAACUUAGAAUAUACACAGGACACAUUUCCCAAUUAAUCUAUCAGAACCCUGAAGGAAGAUCUUCUUUCUCAUGUAACAGCUGGCUUUUUCAAAAAAUGCAUGACCAUAACUGGAGCUAAAAACCUCGAAAAUUAUCUUGAAAACAGACUUUGUAAUACUGUGAACUAGAAAAUACUGUUAUUAAAGAAAAUAAUUUCCAGCCUAAAUAAUGCUAUUUCUGAUCAAGGAAAACAAUGGGCCAACAAAUUAACACCAAUGUCUCAAUAAGAAGACUGUGCCUUUAUGUUAUCAGAACACAGAUGCCAGAGUGCUUUAGAAGCUAGGGAGGUUUCCAUGUUUAAAAACUCUAAGUAGUCACACCUCUAAGGAAUUAAUUUGGUAUUUGCUGCUAAAACUGAUAAACAGUGAUGACAACAACUAUGACAUACGAAUAGGAUGCUUUGUACAACCCUCUGUAAAUAAAACUCAGCCAAUUUCCUUGUUUGUAAAUAGUCAUUUUUGGUAGCUCUAAUCAGGUUCUAACUGGCAAGUGUUGACCUGAGGAAGCCAAGCUGGAAAAGGUUUUAUCAGCUUCCUAACUGAAUUUCUUCUCAUGAUCAGAAAGAUGUACACACAUUUAUUCCAAAUCAGUAUGGAACAAUGAAUUUGAAGUCUGUCUUUACUCCAGGCCAACAACAGAAUUCUUUGUUCCGUUUUCCCUUCAGUAUCCUAUGCUUAAAGCUAUAAGCUGCUCUGAGGAUAGUCUCUCAAUCUUUCCUGAUAAAACUUAUCAUAGAAUCAUAGAAUCCUCAGAGUUAGAAGAGACCUUUAAAGAUCAUCUAUUCCAACUCCUUGCAAUGAACAGGGACACCCCCAGCUAGAUCAGGUUGCUCAGAGCCUGGUCCAGACUGGCCUUGAAAGUCUCCAGGGAUGGGACAUCCACCACAUCUCCAGGCAAUGUGUGCCUCACCACCCUCAUUUGAUCACAUCCCACUGGCAAACCUCUGAGAAGACAAUGAAACACUCAUGCUAAAGGUACAAUAGGUGUGGUUACUGCUUGUGUGCUAACAGUGCUGUUGUUUUCUCUUUUUGGCAGGUGAAAAAAUAAUUGUGAAAAGACCUCUGCACAGCCACAAUUUCAAAAGACAGUAUUUUUUUUUGCCUUAAUUUACACCGUAGAAUCUAAAUUUGGCGCUUGAAGUACCUUCAGCAACUUCUAAUGCAGAUUCACUCCUAAAUUUUAGGAGACAGAAAAUGAUGUUUUAUCACAGAUUAGUUGGUAGUUUCCCUUCUCCUGUUUUAAAGUCUGUCAAUCUGACCGGUUUUUUAUUAAUUUAUUCAGUAGCUAUGGUGACAGUUCAUCUCUGUCAAUCAGCAGCAAAGGUCUAAGCCAUACCUCUCUGAAAACAAUUCCAGAAAUAUAAUAUUCUGUAGAUAAAACAAUUAUGAGACUGGAUUAACAUUAACAAAAUUAAUAUGUAUUCUCACAGUGAGAUUAUGCUCAUCUCCCUAUGACAUUUAUUUUUGCCAUCGCACAAGUGCACACAGUAAGAAAAUGAAACCAUCUGCACUGAGCAUUAGGAUCACACUACCCAAACCCGAUGAGAGAAGACUGAUGCUGGGAAAACAGGACAAAACAGAUGAAAUUUUAAAUGAUUUUUUCCUCUACUAAUAUUUCAUGCUGGUCUCCUUCACAGGAUUAGUUCCCAAAUAGCCUCUGACUACAUGAAUUGCUCCACAAAUUGUCUCACAGAGCCAUACAGUGUUAUCAUCAAAAAAUAUAUAUUUAAUAAUACAGCUAUCACAAUCAAAAUCUCGAGAAUUAAAAUCCUCCAUGAUCAAAGUUCUGGCUCUCUUGCAGACUUUUUUUCUUUUAAAUCAGCAAUACAUGUUGUUAUCUGCUUUUCUUAACUGCCCUCAAGGGUUACAAUAACUGGAUUAUUUUAUUGUUCUUAUCUAUUAAAGCUUUCCAGUGUACCAGACAAAAUACUUAACUAGCUCUCUGUUGGCAGCCCAAUACCAUCUCGCAUCGAUUGAACCAAAAGAUUCCUUUGCCUUAUCUUGUUCAGUGUAGACCAGAUUUCCUGCUGCUCACUGCUAAAAAUAUUUAGUGAUUUUACUUCCCAAGGAAGCUCUGAUUUCUGUUCAGUAGACUGUACUGGGUAUGGUCUAGGGAAAUUUUUUUUCUAUGUUUGUUGUUUUUAUCCUUUGUCUUCCAAUUCCCAUUUGUUCUGACAAGUUAAGUAUUAUUGGGACCUACAGUUGGACUGUCUCUUCCUUCACCUCCUCUUUCUUUUCGCAUCUAGCCUAGAAGUGUUUGCUGCCUACUUUAAAUAAAUAGUUAAUGUACAUUCUCCUCACAGGUCUCCUAAGCAUCUUUGAACAGCAGUUCUACCAGUGUCACUGUUCCACAUGCAUGCAAAAUCACUCAGAAAUCUGACUGUAAACCUGUAUUAGCAGCAGUUCCUAUCACAGCAGGAACAUCUUCACGCUGUGUUACCAGAGAAAGAACUAAGGAUAAAGACAGAUACGAAGCUAAUAUGUCUGAGAAGGUGAUAAAGCACUGCAAGGCAGCUCUAUUAAUAACUGCAUAUAUCUGAGUCAGAUAGAGGGAAAUAAGAGGGCCACAACUGUUACAGGAUACAUCCAACCUUUUUUCCCCUUACCUAACAAAUGAAGGAAUUACUAUGCCAUGAACUGACACAAUACGAAUAGGGGUAUUUCCUACUGAUACUUCAGUUGAGAACACUUUUCAUUAUCACCAACUUUAACAUACCAGCAAAAGAUCAACUCACUAUAAUUCUGAGUACUUUGGUCAUUAUAAACAAUAUACUGUUGCAAUAUACUUCAAUGUUAGGGACAAAAAACCUUGUACAUUCAAAGUGCAAUAUUUUCUAAAAAAGAUAUCAGAUGGCUGAUGAGAUUUGGGGUUGUUCUGAAGAAAAUGCUGUGCUGGAAAAUCCAAGACUAAAAGCUAAUGAUGAAUUUGUAAAGCACUCAAGAUCACCUACACAACACAGAAGAAGCCAAGAAAGGACAGAUAACAGAGCAAUUCUCAACUGACAGUUCGAAGAAUCAAUUUUUGUUUUUAUCUCACUUGCUAUGAAAUUAAUGAGGUUUUCAUAGUAUAGUAGUGCAAAGACCUACCAUCUGUGUAAAUUCCUGAACUCACUGAAUUUUCCUUUGUCUGGCACCUUCUGUACUGCCCAGCAGUGUUCCCACUUUGUUUAUACAUUUGACAGUCUAAGCGUAUUUUCUUUUCCAGGGCAGGCAGCCCUCAGCUCUAGCUGUCUACAUUGUGAAGCUGACUCCACACAAAUCAACACAUGCUUUAAACUUGUCCUCAUAGUGUCUCAGUUGUGUACUGAUCUCUCAUCUAUUCACCAUGAUUUACAACAAAAUAAAGGGGUGUGGGGAGGAACAACAGGAGACACAGAUUCUAGCACUUUGCAGUAUACACAUUUCAUAACAACUGAAACAGAUAACUUUACGGGCGUACCACUACAAUACUAUCUAACCAUACUCUUGAAUUUAAGUUUUUGAAAUCAACUUAUGCAAAUAUAUAAAUAUUUAAGGCCAGGAAAUAUGGAAAGGGAUGUAAUAAUACUCCAGUCAAAAUGCUGCAACUACACAGAGAAGCUGUAACAACAGAUUGCUUUGUAGAAAUUUACUUCUGUUUGAAGUUCAUUGAUUUUCAUUCCAGCCAUUUAUUUUGCUAAGCAGUAGUUUUGAGCACCUAUUGAUCAUCAUGUUCUGAUGUGGCAGGCUUCUGAGAAAAAAAGUUAAACUAACUAGAACUAAUGAGCAAUUAAACUUGCUCACACAAGUACAGUUGUGGUUUAAUGGUGGCAAGCACAUGACAUGAAGAACAAUGUGUCCAUUUUCUCAGACUUAUUUUCAAAUAAUGCUUAAAAAAAAUUCAGAUUCAUUAUCUAGACAAUAACACAUUAAACAGAGAAACAGAUUUUAACACGUGUUGUACACCAUGCAUACAUAAAUGUAAAAGAAAUUAAGCACUGGAGACCCAUUUUGAUCUACUUUUCUUCUGCUCUUCUACGUAAAUAUAACAUCCUUCUCUUCUAGACAAAAAGAGUAAUACUCUGUCUUAACUUUUCCAUACAUUUUUUUUAUCUUCAGUAUUAAACUGUUGAAGCUCAUUUCCCAUUUCUUAUACCAUGUUCCCUAGUUCUUAACUAUUUUGUGCAUUUGUCAAAUGGUCUUUGGAUCCUACCAUUUCUUUUCUUUCCCAUGAAAAGGUGAUUCAUUUCUGAAGGAAGGACUCAAUUAAGAUUUCCAGCAAAAAUUAUGUUUCAGGAGAGGACAAAAUGGGCACAUGUGAUAUCCAACAGUUGAUGAUUAACAGUGUUGCACUAAAGUCUCUGGAAUCACAAAACAACCCAAUCCUUGCUGAGGGAAAAUUGUAUUUUAAAAGUUCAGUAUUCACUUAUUAUAAUGCAGUUAUUGCAUUACAACCUUAGAUGAAUUCCAGAAAUAAAUGAAACGACAAUAUUUUUCUUGAGGUAAAUUCAAAAACCACUAAUAAAGGAAAUCUGCUAGGUUCAAAAAAAAUCAUUUGCUGAGAGCAAUACUUCCAAGUCUGCAUCAGGGUGGGUAGAAAACAAGAGAUUAAGAAUAUAGAAUAUGAAGAAUAUGAGAUGAAAAGAAAAAAAAAUAUGUUGCUUUUUGGAAGCUGAGGAAAAGCCUGAACACAUAAGCCAAGGAAUAAUGGUUUUGGGUUUUUUUUGUUUGUUUUUUCAAGUAACAUACCCAAAAAUCUAAUGAAAGGAAACAAAAUCUCACAGGCCAAGGCAGCAGUAUUUGAGAACCAGAUCCAAGAUGAAAUCCUCAGGCUACAUGGGCUUUUUCUUGAAAAUUGGAUUGCAAAAGCUUAACAGCUUGCAACUGAAGAUGACCCACUUUGCAUUGAAAAGACAUACAGAAUCCCCUUUAAGAAAAUAAUAACAAUAAUAAUAAAUAUAUAUAUGUCUUGAGUAGAAGGCAGAAUCACACUUAGCCUCUCAGGUCAGAGAUGCAAGGGAAGGAUCCACCUCACGGCAGCAUAAAAGGACAGCCAACUUUUCUAAUAUGCUUUAAGUCUUACAUUUCUUUCUUGUCUAAAGUGCCAUAACUGCAGCAAAGACUGAGGUUAGCACUGCCAAAGAAGAGAAGUAGACAUUUCUUUUAUAUUAAGAGGAAAAAAGAUCUCACAUUUCUUUACCAAAUAUUGGGAAAAGCAGGAUCGACAUACCUUCACAGCUUUCCCCAUUAUUGCAAAGAUAUGCCUUUCACAUGUCCAGAGGUCUACAGCUUUGUAAUACCUCCGUAGCCAAACAGAAAAGAAAAACCUAAUAUAUCAAAGUAUUAAUAAGCCUUAAUAAUUGACUUUCAAUGUUGUUUUUUUUUUUUUUUUUUUGGAAUAACAUUCCAUGCACAGCACUCCAGAAGUCACAUACAAAAAAUUUCCAACCAGCUCUGUGUUUUUAUCACAGAAUAUAGAACCAAGUAACGAGCAGCAAACAUUUCAUUUUCUAACUGGUAGUGAUCACAAAGGUACUGAUUUCUACAUAGUCUUCACUUGUUCAGCACCCUUGAAGACAAGAUAUGAAUAGUAAAUCACCCAUAUGAAAACUGAAAUUAGAGAAUCUCUUUGACCUUUAUAUUUGCAUUUCUUCCAUUACAGAAUAUAAAUAAAUUCAUAUAUUUCAUAAUGGGAAUUGUAAAACUUAUGCAAAUAUUGAUUCAGUACUUUGAUAAGAGAAUUUAUUUUCAAAUAGCAGGAGGAACAAUGAUCAAACAUUACCAAAAAAAUUCCUUAGGAAAUGCAAUCAAACAUGAAAAGUACUAUAUUCUUCUUUGCAGAAAAGCAUUUACAUUGCAAUACCUUCUAUAUCUAUAAAUCAGUUUCUUGUGUUGGCUAGCCAGUUUUUAAAUUGAUUUCUUUUUAAUAUUCAGGUCUUCCACCAUCAAUAGCAACACUUCAGAGUUAAACCAUUCAACAGCUCGCUUCCCAUUUUUUGGCUUUAUUUUUCCCCCAAAUUCCAUGACAGUAGCCUUAAAUCACAUAAAUCAAAUGAACUUUAGAGAGAGAAAAAAAACCAACAGAAUCUACAAACUUCAAACUGUUUUGUCAAAAAAAGUUCUUCUAGGUUAAACAUCUUGGAGAAUCAUCUUAAGUGGAAUGAUAAAUUAAAAUUACUCAAAAAAGAAAUAUUACCUGACUUUCUACUGCUAUUAUAAAAGACCGAAAAGUAGAACUGUAUCUUUUUACAGAUAAUUGUAGAGAUUUUACACUCCAAAGGACUUCUCAUAUUAGUUUUCUUACCUUUUCUCCACUUACAUAAAUGGACAUGAGAUAAAAUAUUCCAUUUCCAUUAUAUCUCAUAGUUUAACAGUUACGUCAAAAUGUUAAUCAGAAGAAUUCAAAAUAUUGUUAUAAAGCCUCCUAGGAACAUUUUAUUUUCUAGUUCUACAUAUAUCUCCUUGAUAUGCUCUAGCUCUUAUUUGUAGUUUUUUUUUUUUUUUGUAGACCAUAGAUCACCAUUCUUAUUUGUAGAUCAUUUUUCUCCCUUGUACCAAGGUGUUCCAUUCCUUCCUUCAUAGUUAUUGUCCACUUAAAUCUGUAUUUAUCCCUUUUAUUCCAUUCUUAGAUACAUAAUUGACCUACACCUGAAAAGUAAAUACUCAGACCUCUUUGAAAGUCUUGUGUAAAUAAAAAUUGUAGUUAAGAUCUAAACUAAGAGCAAACUUAAAUAAAGUACGCUUUUCUCACUGAGGUUCAGCGAAUGUCAUGAAGGAAAAAGGAAAGUCGUUCAGAUCUGCAUACAUAAUUAGAAACUUGCUUAAAUGAAGUUUGAAGAGAUUUGCAGAGAUUCUUUUUUCUUAUAAACAAGUUUAAAGAUUUUUGAAAUGGUUAGUUGGCCUGCAUUCAAAAAUACCAAGAGGGGUGCACUAAGGAACAUAACUUUUAUGAUUAUUUAAUUUUUUUUAGAUUGCCAAGUCAAGUGUGCUUUAAACUAGUCUCUUGUGAAUGUACAUAAUAAAAAAAAUUCUAUUUCAGCAGAUAAUUUUUUCAGGUGAUUUGCUUGCAGCAAAAUAAAAU